rnacentral:lncRNA from 1 species
AACCCCCAAGAAUUUGGAAGCAGUAGGUAAUAGACGAGGCUGUCGGAGGUUGUCCUAGUGAGGCCUCCCAGCACGGUAUUCAUGGCGGCCAGGUCUGAUUCCUCUUCCUCCAUGUCUCUUAUAGGUUGGGAGUGGCAGGAAUUUUGUGAGGAUCGUGGCCCUGAUUGGUCUGAACUGCCUCUAGUCCGACCAGAAGCAAUGCCUGGAUGUAGGUACCUGGGGGCCCCCAGAGGAGAGCGUUGGCUCGGUGAAUUCCCCGGCACCGAGAGCUCACGCACAGGACACCAGAACCCGGGCUGGAAAGACCCCAUCUGUGGGUGCUGGGCCAGCGUCUCACUGGCUCAGGGACUGGGAAGGGCCACGCGUCCACACCGAAGACAGACGGGAUCAGAUGAUGAGGUACCGAGAGUCCAGCAGCAUCGAGAUAGGACCAGCGGGAAAAGGGGAAGGACACGGGGUCACAGAGUCUCACUUAUCCGGCCUGCGCUUUUCUUGGAAGCAGUGCCACGCAGAAGCUGGCACCCUGGGUCCUUCCCGCUUGGAUCGAGAGCCCAAAGUGACAUAUCGUUGCACGAGCCCCUGUUCUGCCUUCUGGAGAAUGCAGCCCACCGGCUAAGCCGGGGCAGCCGAUUUUGCCAGAAGCAGCAUCAUCGGCACCAUCUGGUAACUCACCAGAAAUGCAGAUCCUCGGGCCAACAGCAGACCAAGCGGUCAGAAACUCUGAGGACGGUGUUGGCAAUCCACGGUCCAACAGAUCCUCCCGGGGCUCUGAUUCGGGCUCAGCUGGUCUGACGAUGACCUCUCUAGAGAAGCCCGGUGUUCAGGGUCUUUGAAUGCUCCUUGUCUCUUUGGCCGCCCUCCUCUGGAGGUGUCUUGGCUCCCCGACGUCACUGAGGACGGGUCCCGGGUCCCAGGUCGGAUCAACCCACCGGUCGACAAGUCCAGCGGCAAACGCCGCUUGGUCCUCGGCCGGCGAUCGAACUCUCAGCUAAGUUUCCAGCCCUUGCGGAAUUCAUGCCCCUGAUCUGUCUGCAGCUACUGGAGGCAGCCCCCCGACAGGGAGGAUGCUGUGGCAAUGGGGCUCCCCUGUGCACAGAGCAUCCGUGUGGCUUCUGUAAGACGUCGUUAGGAGGAGCCAGGUCGAGGUGGUGGGGCCGUGGAGGAGGGCGCCACCUGGUUUCUCAGGUGCGUACCCAUGGCUCACCCCGCCUCUGGCUCUGGAGGCUGUGAAUAGAAGCUGUGAACACCCCCAGGCCUUCGCAAGAUCACGCCACAAUCUCCGGGAGUCCGUGCCAACUUGUAUCGAUUUUGGUACCUUGGUCCGAUUCUUUGCUAGCUUUUUCUGUUGAGUGACCUUGGUGCUUUCCUCAACAGACGUGAGGUCCUUCGAGACGCCACCUCCCUGAUUUAUGAUGGCUUCUGGUGCCUCCAGUAUGAAUGAUCUAUCCGUUCGGUCCUACCUCCCUUCCACUCCCUCCUCCCUUAUAUCCUAGGUAUUUAGGCAACAUCCACUCUCCAGGACGUGAGCCAAUGCCAUCAGCGCUGUGGAACUGAUCUUGGGGCCUAUGACAGAUGGUGCUGGGCUUGGCAGGCAGCAUUUUUUUUUUUUUUUUUCAGGAAACAGUCAGGGUCCCGCGUGUUCUUCAGUCCUGAGGCAGGGGAGGGGAAGAGAGUGAGGUGGGUAGCCAAAUGGCUUUCUCAUUCUGGAGGGAGUCUUGACACCGUGCUCUCUCCGCCAGAUUCUCACUUUCAGCCCAGCUGCUCCUGCCCACUCUUUGUCCCUCUCCUCCUGCAGCCCAAGGACCGUGCAGAGCCAGCUAGAUAGGGUGGGACAUCGGGUGUGAGGGAAGACGUGGAGACCAAGAAUGAGAGGUGACAAGCAAACCAUGGGUCUCUUCAAUUACUUAAAUGAUGGGACUUUGCCCGUGUCCAGGGGCCAAGGUUCUGCCGCAGCAGAGGCGGGAGGCACCGUCACCCCCUGGCUCCGUCUGGAAAGUGCCGGAAGACCAGUGCCAAGGAACCCGGGUACGGGAAACCGAUGGCUCUGCCAUCUCCCCCACUGAUGAGUCCCUGGAUGGCUGGCGGGAAGGACUCGUACCUGUACUCGGCAACCGCCAAGCUUCACCUCCAUGCCUGUGGUUCCACUGAGCCCACGUACCUUCCGAGACCCUCGUGUGCCGCGUCCUCAGAGGCCUCCAUUCGCUCGCCUUCGGGAACUGUGCUUCAUCAGCACCUGCUCUUGAAACAUGAGCUCUAGCACGGAGCUGGAUUCUGAUGCCGGUGGGGCAGAAGAUAUGGUCCCAUAGCUCUAGUGGCCAUGUCACAAUCUCGGCUCCGAUCUGUUAGUUUAAGCUCACGUGAGUUUCCUUAGUUUUAGCCUUCUCAAUUGCAAGGAAAAAUUGUGGUCAGAAUAUAAAGAAGAUGUGAGAGAUAGAGAUAGAGAUAGAGAUAGAGAUCUCUAUCUGUAUCUAUCUAUCUAUCUAUCUAUCUGAUGGAAUAUUACUCAGUCAUCAAAAACAAUGAAAUCUUGCCACGUGCAACAAUGUGGAUGGAACUAGAAGGCAUUACGCUAAGUGAACUAAGUCAGUCAGAGAAAGACAAACACCAUCUGAUUUCACUUAUGUGUGGGAUUUAAGAAACAAAACAGAUGAACAUAAGGGAAGGGGAAAAAGAGAGGGAAGCAGACUGCAAGAAACUCGUAGCGAUAGAGAAGGAGAGGGUUCAAGGAGAGAGGUGGGUGGGGGAUGGGCGUUGAGGCGGGCACCUGUUGGGAGGCGCACCGGGCGUUGUAUGUAAGUGGUGAACCGCUGAAUUCUCCUCCUGAAGCCAAUAUUACACGAUACGUUAACUAGAAUUCAAAUACACGCUUGAAAAAAACGUAACUCUGCCACGUCCCCUUGGAAAUCGUUCUGACUGAGGCACGGAUGACCCCUCCCCCCUUGCUUUCACUGUUUUGUUUACUUCUAAUUGCAAAUGUGUUUUCCCACGUCUGAACUUCCCUUUGCCACUAGACCCUGGGAAUCAGGCUGUACCCCCAGUGCCCAGGACAGUGCUUGGCAGGUAGGGAAACCUCCUUUCUAUAUGCAGAGGAUUCUUUCUGGGCGCUCUAUUUUAUUCCACUAAUGUAUGUUCCAUUUUUAAUGGCAGUCCUGUUCUGUUCGGGUUAUUAUAGCUUUGUAGUAUACCUUGAAAUCUACGAUUGUGAUAUCUCCAGUUUUGGUCUUUUUUCUGAAGAUUGUCUGGCUAUUGGGGGUCUUUUGUGGUUCCAUACCAACUUUAGGAUUGUUUCUUCUAUUUCUGUAAAAAAUGCCACUGGGAUUUUGAUAGGUGUUGCAUGAAAUCCGUCAAUUGUUUUGGGUAGUGCGAACACUUUAACAAUAAUUAAUUCUUCUAGCACGCGAGCGUGGCGUCUCUCUCCAUCGACACGUGUUUUCUUUCACUCCUGUCACCCAUGUCUUACAGUUUUCAGCACAGAGGUCUUUCGCCUCCUUGGUUAAAUUUAUUCCUAAGUAGCCCAUCCUCUUUUUGAUGCAACUGUAAAUGAUGCUGUUUCUAUAAUUUCUAUGUCUGACAACUUGUCGUUAAUGUGUAGAAAUGCAAGUGAUGUUUAUACUGAUUGUGUGCCCUGUAACGUUACUUGAUCUGUUUAUUAGUUCUAACAGUUGUGUUCCUCUGUUUUUAAUGCCUAGGAAGACACGUUCUUACCCCUUUCCAGCUAUGUGAGCUUCAUUGACUACUCACUCCUGCUUUGACCUUUCAGGUUUUACACACUCUUUCCGGUGAUUGUUCUCCAGGACAAUCAACCUUCCCGUCUUCACUCACCAUAGAUUCCACAGAUAUCUACUAUAAGGAUGGAAUCUUGUUUGGGGCGCCUGGGUGGCUCAGUUAGUUGAGCGUCUGACUUCGGCUCAGGUCAUGAUCUCGCGGUUCGUGAGUUCAAGCCCCGCGUCGGGCUCUGUGCUGAUGGCUCACAGCCUGGAGCCUGCUUCGGAUUCUGUGUCUCCCCCUCUCUCUGCCCCUUCCCUACUUCUCUCUCUCUCAAAAAAAAAAAAUUAAUGUAAAAAAAAAUGUAAAAAGAAAAGAUCUUGUUUGACUUACUUGUGCCCUGAUGGCUGCUCGGUGUGCUUUCUUCCAUUCCCAGCCGCCAAGCUUUGCCCCACAAUGGGGCCCCCAGUCCCUCCUCGCCCACCCUUAGUCUGGGUCUCAGGCUCCUUCUGGCGGCACAAAACCCUGCCAGUGUGUUCUGUGGCCAAAGCAUUGCAUUGGGAUAGUUGCCUGCUUGUCAAGGAUACGUGGGAGUGUGGCAGAAAAGCCUCUAAGACCCCUUCGAGUCCCAAAUUCUAGGAUUCUGUCGUUCAUGCCUUAUGUUUCAGUUAAAUGCAAGUUCCCCACGCCAAAAUAGAAAUUGACCUGUGGCUUUUAACACCAGGGCCUCUGUGACUCUUUAUAUAACGAUGCGAUAGAUUUGCAGCCAAAAUGAUGCCCUUGCUUUGCUAAUAAAGCAGCCGGUUGGAGUUCA